GUGAACUUUGAAGAGACGGGUAUUUCGCGGUGCUAACAAAGUAUCAGUUCAGCUCAGAAGUCUACUGUGUCAUAAUUAAUGUUUUAAAGUUGAAUCAUAAGCCAAGCUCUAAACCACUGCAGGUCUGACUUUGACGGUUGAGGCAAAUUCAGUGACACAAUCAAAGGCUCCUGAAAAUACCCGAGACUGACAGACAUAGCUCUGGUUCGGCCUGAUGCUCAAGGUUAAUGACCACAGCCAUAGAUGGAAAGUGGUGGGAAUCUGCGAUGAUCAUGGCCUGCAAUUUGAGCCCCAUGUCAGACCCUACUUUUGUUUUGCCAGAAACUCAAAAUCAUUACCACACACAAAAAUAAUGUAUGUAGUUGACUUCUUGGCUGCACUGCUUGCUGUAUAAUCUUGCUGAUCAGUUAACUUUAAAUAGCAAUUGUGUAUUUUUAUAAUUUUCCUGGUUAUAUAUACUUUUAUUUCUAUACAUUUUUGUUCUCACA